rnacentral:rRNA from 1 species
AUUGAACGCUGGCGGCAGGCCUAACACAUGCAAGUCGAACGAGUGGCGGACGGGUGAGUAAGGUCUGGGAAACUGCCCGAUGGAGGGGGAUAACUACUGGAAACGGUAGCUAAUACCGCAUACCAUCGGAUGUGCCCAGAUGGGAGUGGCUAGUAGGUGGGGUAAUGGCUACCCUAGGCGACGAUCCCUAGCUGGUCAGAGAGGAUGACCAGCCACACUGUAACUGAGACACGGUCCAGACUCCGACGGGAGGCAGCAGUGGGGAAUAGUGCACAAUGGGCUCAAGCCUGAUGCAGCCAUGCCGCGUGUAUGAAGAAGGCCUUCGGGUUGUAAAGUACUUGCAGCGGGGAGGCGUUACCCGCAGAAGAAGCACCGUCUAACUCCGUGCCAGCAGCCGCGGUAAUAC